rnacentral:rRNA from 1 species
UACGGGGGGGGCAAGCGUUGUUCGGAAUUACUGGGCGUAAAGGGCUUGUAGGCGGCCAACUAAGUCCGACGUGAAAUCCCAAGGCUUAACCUUGGAACUGCGUCGGAUACUGGAUGGCUUGAAUUCGGGAGAGGGAUGCAGAAUUCCAGGUGUAGCGGUGAAAUGCGUAGAUAUCUGGAGGAAUACCGGUGGCGAAGGCGGCAUCCUGGACCGACAUUGACGCUGAAAAUCGAAAGCUAGGGGAGCAAACGGG